rnacentral:rRNA from 1 species
CCUGACUGACCGAUAGUGAACCAGUACCGUGAGGGAAAGGCGAAAAGAACCCCGGCGAGGGGAGUGAAAAAGAACCUGAAACCGUGUACGUACAAGCAGUGGGAGCACGCUUAGGCGUGUGACUGCGUACCUUUUGUAUAAUGGGUCAGCGACUUAUAUUCUGUAGCAAGGUUAACCGAAUAGGGGAGCCGAAGGGAAACCGAGUCUUAACUGGGCGUUAAGUUGCAGGGUAUAGACCCGAAACCCGGUGAUCUAGCCAUGGGCAGGUUGAAGGUUGGGUAACACUAACUGGAGGACCGAACCGACUAAUGUUGAAAAAUUAGCGGAUGACUUGUGGCUGGGGGUGAAAGGCCAAUCAAACCGGGAGAUAGCUGGUUCUCCCCGAAAGCUAUUUAGGUAGCGCCUCGUGAAUUCAUCUCCGGGGGUAGAGCACUGUUUCGGCAAGGGGGUCAUCCCGACUUACCAACCCGAUGCAAACUGCGAAUACCGGAGAAUGUUAUCACGGGAGACACACGGCGGGUGCUAACGUCCGUCGUGAAGAGGGAAACAACCCAGACCGCCAGCUAAGGUCCCAAAGUCAUGGUUAAGUGGGAAACGAUGUGGGAAGGCCCAGACAGCCAGGAUGUUGGCUUAGAAGCAGCCAUCAUUUAAAGAAAGCGUAAUAGCUCACUGGUCGAGUCGGCCUGCGCGGAAGAUGUAACGGGGCUAAACCAUGCACCGAAGCUGCGGCAGCGACGCUGAUGCGUUGUUGGGUAGGGGAGCGUUCUGUAAGCCUGCGAAGGUGUGCUGUGAGGCAUGCUGGAGGUAUCAGAAGUGCGAAUGCUGACAUAAGUAACGAUAAAGCGGGUGAAAAGCCCGCUCGCCGGAAGACCAAGGGUUCCUGUCCAACGUUAAUCGGGGCAGGGUGAGUCGACCCCUAAGGCGAGGCCGAAAGGCGUAGUCGAUGGGAAACAGGUUAAUAUUCCUGUACUUGGUGUUACUGCGAAGGGGGGACGGAGAAGGCUAUGUUGGCCGGGCGACGGUUGUCCCGGUUUAAGCGUGUAGGCUGGUUUUCCAGGCAAAUCCGGAAAAUCAAGGCUGAGGCGUGAUGACGAGGCACUACGGUGCUGAAGCAACAAAUGCCCUGCUUCCAGGAAAAGCCUCUAAGCAUCAGGUAACAUCAAAUCGUACCCCAAACCGACACAGGUGGUCAGGUAGAGAAUACCAAGGCGCUUGAGAGAACUCGGGUGAAGGAACUAGGCAAAAUGGUGCCGUAACUUCGGGAGAAGGCACGCUGAUAUGUAGGUGAAGCGACUUGCUCGUGGAGCUGAAAUCAGUCGAAGAUACCAGCUGGCUGCAACUGUUUAUUAAAAACACAGCACUGUGCAAACACGAAAGUGGACGUAUACGGUGUGACGCCUGCCCGGUGCCGGAAGGUUAAUUGAUGGGGUCAGCGCAAGCGAAGCUCUUGAUCGAAGCCCCGGUAAACGGCGGCCGUAACUAUAACGGUCCUAAGGUAGCGAAAUUCCUUGUCGGGUAAGUUCCGACCUGCACGAAUGGCGUAAUGAUGGCCAGGCUGUCUCCACCCGAGACUCAGUGAAAUUGAACUCGCUGUGAAGAUGCAGUGUACCCGCGGCAAGACGGAAAGACCCCGUGAACCUUUACUAUAGCUUGACACUGAACAUUGAGCCUUGAUGUGUAGGAUAGGUGGGAGGCUUUGAAGUGUGGACGCCAGUCUGCAUGGAGCCGACCUUGAAAUACCACCCUUUAAUGUUUGAUGUUCUAACGUGGACCCGUGAUCCGGGUUGCGGACAGUGUCUGGUGGGUAGUUUGACUGGGGCGGUCUCCUCCUAAAGAGUAACGGAGGAGCACGAAGGUUGGCUAAUCCUGGUCGGACAUCAGGAGGUUAGUGCAAUGGCAUAAGCCAGCUUGACUGCGAGCGUGACGGCGCGAGCAGGUGCGAAAGCAGGUCAUAGUGAUCCGGUGGUUCUGAAUGGAAGGGCCAUCGCUCAACGGAUAAAAGGUACUCCGGGGAUAACAGGCUGAUACCGCCCAAGAGUUCAUAUCGACGGCGGUGUUUGGCACCUCGAUGUCGGCUCAUCACAUCCUGGGGCUGAAGUAGGUCCCAAGGGUAUGGCUGUUCGCCAUUUAAAGUGGUACGCGAGCUGGGUUUAGAACGUCGUGAGACAGUUCGGUCCCUAUCUGCCGUGGGCGCUGGAGAACUGAGGGGGGCUGCUCCUAGUACGAGAGGACCGGAGUGGACGCAUCACUGGUGUUCGGGUUGUCAUGCCAAUGGCACUGCCCGGUAGCUAAAUGCGGAAGAGAUAAGUGCUGAAAGCAUCUAAGCACGAAACUUGCCCCGAGAUGAGUUCUCCCUGACUCCUUGAGAGUCCUGAAGGAACGUUGAAGACGACGACGUUGAUAGGCCGGGUGUGUAAG